AUCCUUUUGCAAUUUGUGUGUGAUGAAUGGGUGUUUGCGCUCAUGUGUGAGAUGUGCUGGCCUCCAACCUUAUUACCACAUUGGCACAUUACCCAUCUGAUG
ensembl:snoRNA